GAACUUUGGCCAGCACAGAUAGAUUAGAUAUUGGUCUGUAAUUAGUUAACACUGCUGGGUCGCCCCCUUUUAAUAGCGGAAUAACAAAAGCUGAUUUCCAUACUGAGGGAAUUUCAUUCGUAUCCAGUGUGAGGUUGAAAAGUGUUGUGAGAGGCUCUGCCACAAAAUCAGCUGCCAGUUUCAAGAAGUAAGGAUCUAGUAAGUCUGGCCCUGGAGAUUUUCUAGGAUCUAACAGUUUAAGAGCUUUACAGACCUCCUGCACAGAGAAAGGAACAAAGUUAAAUGGCUGACCAUUUAACUAAUGAGUGAUAAGACGAUGUCAGAGGAAUUGGUGCACAAUUAAUC